UACAGAGGGUGCGAGCGUUGUCCGGAAUCACUGGGCGUAAAGGGCGCGUAGGCGGUCGGGUAAGUCUGACGUGAAAUCUUCAAGCUCAACUUGGAAACUGCGUCGGAUACUAUUCGGCUAGAGGAAUGGAGGGGAGACUGGAAUACUUGGUGUAGCAGUGAAAUGCGUAGAUAUCAAGUGGAACACCAGUGGCGAAGGCGAGUCUCUGGACAUUUCCUGACGCUGAGGAGCGAAAGCAUGGGGAGCGAACAGG
rnacentral:rRNA from 1 species